rnacentral:rRNA from 1 species
AUAAAUGAUUUUUGGAUUCGGAGCGAGUGGCGAACUGGUGAGUAACACGUGGGUAACCUGCCCCGAAGCGGGGGAUAACAUUUGGAAACAAGUGCUAAUACCGCAUAAUUAGUUGGAACCGCAUGGUUCCAACUUGAAAGAUGGCUCUGCUAUCACUUUGGGAUGGACCCGCGCCGUAUUAGUUAGUUGGUGAGAUAAAAGCCCACCAAGACGAUGAUACGUAGCCGACCUGAGAGGGUAAUCGGCCACAUUGGGACUGAGACACGGCCCAGACUCCUACGGGAGGCAGCAGUAGGGAAUCUUCCACAAUGGACGAAAGUCUGAUGGAGCAACGCCGCGUGAGUGAUGAAGGUUUUCGGAUCGUAAAACUCUGUUGUUAAAGAAGAACAAGUGUUAGAGUAACUGUUAACACUUUGACGGUAUUUAACCAGAAAGCCACGGCUAACUACGUGCCAGCAGCCGCGGUAAUACGUAGGUGGCAAGCGUUGUCCGGAUUUAUUG